UGUUCCUACGGGGGGCAGCAGUGGGGGAUAUUGCACAAUGGGGGGAACCCUGAUGCAGCGACGCCGCGUGGGCGAUGGAGUGCUUCGGCAUGUAAAGCCCUAUCAGCAGGGAAGAAAAUGACGGUACCUGACUAAGAAGCCCCGGCUAAAUACGUGCCAGCAGCCGCGGUAAUACGUAGGGGGCAAGCGUUAUCCGGAUUUACUGGGUGUAAAGGGAGCGUAGACGGCAGGGCAAGUCUGGAGUGAAAGGCAGGGGCCCAACCCCUGGACUGCUCUGGAAACUGUCCGGCUGGAGGGCAGGAGAG
rnacentral:rRNA from 1 species